rnacentral:lncRNA from 1 species
AUGCAGUGGCACGUCUUCCUUUUUGCCUGUGAUACCUGGCAUCGCUUGAAGGAGCAGCAGAGCUCCAAGGAACACCCUUUGCAAACUUCUUUAAAGGUGUUGAUGCAGAUUGUGGUUGAAAAAUCCAGUUAUAAGAAGACUGCUGAAUCUUGUCAAUAUAGACACGACUCCUAACACCACCAGUAUUGACAAAAGCAUUGUUAUGAUAGCUGUUAGGAUUCUAAUCAAAUUCUAUAUUUUUGUAUAAUUCCAUGUGGUCAGAAAUUUGUGUAUUUAUGCUAGAGUACAAUAAUAAAUCUCUUUCUAGAGCUGUGUUUCUGCCUUUGGUACUUUAUUUUUGUCUCAUUCUCUAUGUAUUAUAGAGGAAAUAUUUGGAUUUGAAUGAGGGAGAUAUUUGCAUUUUAGCUUCUGAAUUCUUCAUUGCUAUGCUUGUUAUGAUCCUGAUUUUCAUACUUUCCAUGUCUGCUUUCUGGUUUAAAAAACUCACAUCUGUUUUUGGCACUGGCUUUUUGCCUUCUUGAUUAAUUUAAUUUAAUGAUAUCUGUGAUUACUCUUCUAUCAAUAAAUGGGCCUUGUCAUUUCUCAGAGAGCUUCUUGUUUCUUUCUGACCUUUGGUACUUGAUAUGCUUGAAAUAUUUUUCAU